GGGGGCAUAGCUCAGUUGGGGAAGCAACAGAUUGAAGUCAAUGAUGUAAUGCGGUUGGUUUCUGGAGGUCCCCAGUUCAAUCCUGGGUGCCCCCA